rnacentral:lncRNA from 10 species
UUUGAGAACAUCUAACCACAACCUUGAUUUUUUACAGAGGCCCAGAGCAGUUCAACAACUUGCCUACUGACACUCAGUAGUCUGUUUGAAGGAGAGAAGCUAAAAUCCAAGUCUCCUGAUUACCAGGAAAGAUGUGGCACCAUUCUCUCACAGGCUCAUUUGACUACUGACCAAGUCUGAACUUGGUCAUGUCUACAGUGGUUGAUAUGGUUUGGCUGUGUGCCCACCCAAAUCUCAUCUUGAAUUGUAGCUCCCAUAAUUCCCAUGUGUCGUGGAGGGACUCAGUGGGAGCACAGGGUGGAUGAAUCACUGCUGCAAAGUCCAUUAGAAGGCACGAGUAGCUUAUAGUAACUGGUGAAUGAAAUCCUAUUUCGGGUGAAAAUGACUGAAAAGUCACAUGCGGCAGAGAUGGUGCUAACCACAUCCAUGCAGGCUCUUUAACAUUGAUUUGUAAAGGAGAGAGGGAGGAAGUGAGGAAAAUCCUCUGUGGGGUGCUGUUCCAUUUCCCUCAGGCUGAGACACCUCCCAAGGGAGGAAGUUUCAUUGCCUGUCAAACCCUGUGGGGAGGUUUUCAUUCAAAAGUUGCUAUGAAGUGAAAUGAAAUGAAAUGAAAUGAAGGAAAGAAAGAAAGAAAACAUUACAGAAUGGGAAAACAGGAGAACAGAAAACUCCCAAUACCAUACCUUUAACAACUCACAUUCAGACUGCAGCUUGUUCUUCGGUUAACGAAAGAGGGCCUCAUGAGGGACCCGCCAUGCUCCAGAAAGAUGAGCUCCCCCGGAAGCACAGUGGGGUAUUUCAAAUGAGUGUUUCCUACAAUGUGCUGGAUGCAAGAAUAAUCGUCUAGACAAGUCAAAAUGUCAGGAAAAUUUCAACAAAUACAAUAGAAAUAUCUUAAAAACCAUUUGUAGAAUAAUUGCGAGGACAUGAAGGCACCUGAAAGUAAAGUCAGAUCCUUCCAGUACAUCUUCUAGGGAAAUGCAUGUACCCACACGAGUGUGUGAGUGAGUGUGCGAGUGUGUUAAUAGGUAUGUGUCAUUCCCUGUCUCAUCAAUGACUCUGGAAACUAAAAUAAUGACAGAAAUAAUCAUAUUCUAUGCUUUGGAGCAGAAAUUAAUUGGCUGUGAGGACAAAAAUACAUUUUUUUCUUUUAUUAGGAAUCACUAAAAUACAGUAGGCUGAAAGAAGGGAUUCAGCUCUGAGGAAUAUUCUAACAAUGAGUCUUUCAUUCUUCUCCCAGUUCAGGUAAUUAGUUUCUCUGCUGGCUUUUAGGAAGCCAUUUGCUCCAUGGAGUUGGAAUGGCAAAAAAUAUAUUUGUUGCUAAUGCUCCUAAUGGUUUUCGUCUCUCUCCCUUGUCCUGUCAGCACCCAAUCAUGAGCUAUACUUUCUGUUCUCUUUGCUGUAACUCUGAGCCUGGAAUCCAGCUUUGAAAAAUGCAUUUGGUCUUUGGCAAGAACAGCAAAAAAGUUACUUGUCUGUAAAGAGCAAGAUAGCAAGUAUUUUUGGUUUUGCAGGUCAUCUAAUAAUUGCUGUCACAACUACUCAACCCAGCUCUCACAGUGUGAAAGCAGCCACAGCUACCAUGUACACGAAUGAGCAUGACUGUGUUCCAAAGAAACUUUAUUUAUGGACACUGAAAUUUGCAUGUCAUUAUAAUUUUUAUGUAUCAUGAAAUAUUAUUCUUUUUAAAAUCUAUUUCCCAAUCAUCUAAACAUAUAAAAAUUGGCUGGGUGCAGUGGCUCAUGCCUAUAAUCAUAGCACUUUGGGAGACUGAGGCAGGCGGAUCACUUGAGGUCAGGAGUUUGAGACCAGCCUGGCCAACAUGGUGAAACCCCAUCUCUACUAAAAAUACAAAAAUUAGCCAGAAAUCAUUUGAACUAGUGAGGCAGAGGUUGCAGUGAGCUGAGAUUGCACCACUGCAUUCCAGCCUGGGCAACAGAGCAAGACUCUGCCUCACAAACAAACAAACAAACAAACAAAAUAUGACAAUCGUGCUUAGCUCAUGGGUAGUAUAAACACAGGUGGUGGUGGCUGCUCACAGGUGGUGGACUGGGGUCAGCCUGCAGGCCACCAUUGGCUAGACCCUGGUCUGAGGUGCUGCACCGCAGGAUAAACUUGCCCUCACCCAGCCUGGCUGUGGGAACCACUCCUGGUCUUAGCCUUGACACAGCUGAGCCCUGGGGAGAAAGAGCAGUCCCUCAGCACUUCCAACCUGACACCCCUAGGAAGAAAUCUAGAAAAGGCCAUCAGUUUAGUUCAGAGCCCUAAGCUAUGAGAUCAGAAGAGGUAUCCCCACAUUGCUGCAAAAACCCUGAUGCCCUUCUGAGAAAGUGGUUAGAGAUGGAAACUUUCUUUCCUCCAACACUUUUCAAUUCUUAUUUCUUGAAACUUGUCUUAAGCGCCAAAAACUUAUGAGACAGUUUAGGUUUGGAGAAAGCAAUAUAAUCUUCAAGAACAUUCGAGAAUGGAGGAGGCACGUGUGGAAGAUUAAUAGUGGUGGCAGACUUUGUUGUAACACACAGAGAGGUGGGGGCUAGGUAAAAACUGGGAGGACGGCAUAACUGUGCAACCACCGAAUACAGCAGAGAGGAUCCUGGGCCCAGGCUUAGGAGGCUUGGCCACUUACACUUCCUUUCUCUAGAAAUGCUCACUCUUGUGGAAGCCAGCUACCUGAAAGAGGUCUGACUACUUUGAGACCACCAUGUGUGGAAGCCCCAGUGGACACACCCAGCUGAACAUGCCUUCCAGCCAUCCCACCAAGGCGCCAGGCAUGUGAAGCCAUCUUAAUCACCUCCAGUUCACCCAUCUGCCCAGUGAAAGUAUCCAGCGACCCCCUUCAAUACAGCGAGGAGCAAAAGAAUUUCCCAGCUGAGUCCGGCUGGAAUUCCCGAUCCACAAAAUCAUGAGUGAUGAUAGGGAAACAGUUUACUGUGUUAAGCCGUUAGAUUUGGGGAUAGUUUGCUAUAGAGCAUACAUAAACAGAACAGCAAGUAUGAGGAGCUGUACACCUCCCACCUGCCUCCCGCCCCCCCCCCCAAAAAAGCGAUAGGACUGAUAGUUAGAGAAGGAAAAGGUUAAUAAAGGCUGAAAUUGUUGGGGAAAGGUAUAGAAAAAGGAAGAAACCGGAGGCUGAGGGAGCAGAAAAGGGAGGCUUUGCACAGGCAGCUUGGGGAAGGCCAGGAAAGUGGAUGGAAGCAGGGCUCUAGCUCAGGUAGGGAUGUACAUGUAUGUGUGAAGAGUGGGGUGUGGGAAGGAGGGAAAUGGUUAAGAGACUCUUAACAAGGAGAGCUACUGUAAUGACACAGGCAAGCCACUUUGGCUCUCCGUGAAUAUUAUGUGCCUUGUGGCCAUUGGGUAGCCGUCAGUAGUUAGCGGCAGGUGGUGAUGGUAGAGUUAAUGGGAAGGGGGUGGUUGCAAGCUCUACCUCUAGCAACGUCACUACUAAUGGGAUGAGAUCAAGCAGCCUGUCACUUAAAAACAGACAAACACGACAACCCUACAGCCUGUCUGUGGUUCCCAAGAGGUCUUCUCCACCCUUGAGGGCACUGACCAGUACCUGGCAGCACAUGCUCCAUUUAACCCCCAGGCCUGUGUCUGAGCCAGGUGGCAGGAUUUCCCAUGAAGCAAGGAGAGAGACACAGGGUCAAGGGGCUUGGACCCAAAAUGCCGCAUUGGCCACAGAGUUGCCUGGAUUGCUGGUUUUCUGAUCCGUCAUGUAUGCAAGGAUGCCCAGCACCGUGUCACCAUGCCCACCACACCCCACUAAUUUAACACCACUAAUUCAAUCAAAUCCAAAGUGUUUUUCAAAUUAGGACAUUUCACAUACACUUAGCCAACCUGAAAAUCUUCAUACUGAGUAUUUCCACCAUCCUGAAUUUUCACAAUUCUAAUGAGAAGACUAUCCCCUAAUUCCAUUCUCCCACAUUGAUAACAGCUCAUAUGUGAUCAUUUGGAUUUACCAGAAAAUCCUUUAAGCCCCUCCUCCAACUCCCUCCUGGCAGGCAUCAGGGAGAGGUACAUCAAAUUCAUCCUGGACAGCUGCCAAGCACCAGAACGUGGUACCGAGAGGUUCCUGAAAGCAUGGUAUGUUGAAAUACAUCAAAGACUCUUAGAGCUGACAGAUGGGAUAACUGAGAUAUCGUGAUGGGAAAUGGUGACACCAGUUGGCAGGCGCAUUAGCAAAACUAGAAUCGAUUCUGCCCUCUCAAUGUCCCUGGGAGAGACCCAGGAUUGCAAACUUGAAAAUUCUCUUGAACUCCAUGAUUCUAAGUGGUAAACAAACUUAUUUUUGGGUACUUAAACUGCAUGUACUCCUGGUAAGAGUGUCCUCUAAUUUAUGUUCUUGAAGACAAAAGACUUGGAAAAUCCUUUUAUGAAAACCCCACAAAGGUUGUUACAAAUAGAGAGUUGCAAACAAGUUUCAAGUUGACCUGAUUUCUCUCUGUAAAAAUCUUCUUUGGUGAGAGUACUUUCCUCUCCCGGAAAAUAAGUUGUACUUUAAAGAAAUGAACAA